AUGAAUGGGCUCAAUGCGCAUAUAAAGGCUGGGGAGGAGCGAUCAGAAAGGAAUGGAAUUCCAGUCUCCCGCAGGUGGAGGCCAGCCCCGGGGCCGGCCCCGACCGGGAGGAGUAGGACUGGGGAGAGGGCAGAGGUGGGGCCCCGUGACUCUACCAGGAAGCUAGGGUCCAAGGACCAAGCAUUUCCCUGUCCCACCCUGAGAGCCGGAACCUUCGGCGCUGGUAAGUUGGCUUUGACUCUUGGAAGAGUAAGUAAGUGCCUUCUCUGCGGGGCGGGGCGGGGCUCCCUGGCUUCUCAGCCUCUGGGGAGGGGGCCUGCCGGACGGCUCGAGGAAGCGCCCCCUUCCUUCCCCGCCGGGAAACUCCAGGAAGAGGCUUGGAGUGGGAGGGACCGGGGCCGGCGGACUACACCCCCGGCUCUCCUAGAAACCAGCCGGCGACAUUCCGGGAGCCCCAGAGGCAGCCACCAGGCUGGUGGACCCCACAGGAGCCCCAGAGGACAGCAAGACCCCAGGGCGGAGCCAGGUGAGGGGCGCCCCCACCUUCCCCCUCCCCCUCCUCCGCGACUCUCCAGGCCUAACCCACCUCCCAUUCAUCCCCUGCAGCUGAGCCCACAGCCGCUGGUGGCCAGAGCCCUGGGGGAGGCCGGGCCCAAGACCCCACUGGAGCAGGUCACCCGGGAGCGGGACGAUGCCAUUGCCAAGAAGCUGGCAGUAGAAGCCGAGCUGGGCAUCUGCAGGGCCAAACUCCAAGCCUCGGAGAAGCAGUUGCUGGAGGUGGUGGCAGAGAAGCUGAAGCUGAUGGAGGAGAUCGAGGCCUGGAAGGUAGGGCAGGCCCUGGCUUCCCCCAGGGCGAGGAUUUCUGGUGGGGCUCUCUGCUCCCCUCCCAGCCCCGGCCUCCCCCAACCUCCGUCUCUUCCCCAGGAAGACAUGCAGGAGCUGAUCCGCCAACAGAUUCACAGGCAGCUGCAGAGAGAGGGCAGGGCCCCUGCCUCCGAGCCCAGAGCCCCCCGGGCUGGCCUGACCUCCCAUUUCUCCCAGUGGCAGUGGAGAUGGCGGAGGUGAGAGGGCUGGAAGUAGCACUAGUCAGCAGACUGAAGCUCUGGCCAUGGUGUCCACUCCAGGUAGCCGCUGGGUUUGAAGCGUGGCCGGCCGUGGCCCGCAUUUCCAUCCUCCCUUACGGUGGAGCUCUGUUCAUCCCUCCCCUGAGCCUUCCCCUUCUUCCAGAGGGCCAGGCCUUUUCCGCUCUCACCCCCGAGGCUGGGGCUGCCUCGGCCUCUGUGUGGGGAAGAUCUCGUGCUCUUUGAGCCUGUGUUUGAGAAGUCUGGAGAGGAGCCAGUACUCCCCUCUGUGGUCCAGCCACAGGAGGUGGCACCUCAGAGGACCAAGACGGGGCCAGGAGAGGGUUCUUGGAGCUGGAGGAAGUCCCUCGUGGUAUCUCCUUGCUGGAACAGGACUUCCGUGUUGAUCUGUACUAAGUUCUGCCUGUCAUCCUCCACCAGAUGGGUGAGAAGGAACAGCUGUGCCCUGGAGAGUUGAGUGGGAUGAUUUGGUAUCCUGGCUCAGCUGUUGAGCCUCUCCUUCAUCCUUUUAGGCCAAAUCUAGUUCCGUCUCUCCAAGUUCCAGGCCAGCUACGUAGAGCUUUGAAUUCCUUUCCUAACUCUUCUGGCUUUAUGUCUGUAUUUGUCCUUCCUCAGCCCUCCCACUUUCCUUAUUCCCUAUCUCCCAGGCCACUGCCCCGGGGCCCCACGUUUCUCCUCUCUCCUUCCCAUGACCUCAAACUCAAAUAUUUGUCCUGUGCAGCCCCAUCUAUAGAGCCCAGAGAGGGGAAAGGAUUUGCCUAAGAAUUUUUAACUUUCCUAAAUGAAUCCAAGCUGGAUUUGAUAGAGCAACUCUAGAUACAAAUCUUAAACACAUAGACCUCUGAAAGGAUCUUUCUGCUGGAUAGAGAUUGGAGGUGGUAGAUUGCUGGCUCAGGCGUUAACUGAUGCCCUUCUGAAGGCUUUUAAGUGGUCGCCGAUGCCACCCCUCCUGUUCUCACUGCAGGGUUGACCAUGGAGAAGUGAUCUUCAGGGGGUAGUUCCUCAAACCUGGUAUUGAACUAGAAAUCCUCUACUGCUCAAGGACCCACAAUCUCCUCUCAGACUUUGUAGCAAGGUGGGGAGAACAAUAUACCAGAAAUUCCCCUCUGUUCCUACAGGACUACAUUCUCUGCUUCCAACUCCACUGAAGACUCAGAGCCCUAAUCCUUUUUUGACUCCAUGACCUGUCCUGGGGAUUUGAUGGAUCCUUGACACUGAUUGCAGGACUAUGGGAUGCUUCUGACUGUCAAGAAGGCUGAUGCUCUGCCCUCCAGGCCCUAGUGGAUAAACCUCAUCUGCUACAACAUCUGGACCAUGGGCUAUGCUGAUUCCUCUCAUUCUGUUUCUGAUGAAGACCAAGGGGACCCAUCUAAACGGAGGCAGGAGAGCCUGCUGCUCAGUGCUCCUGGUCUCAGACUAGCUGGAAUCAUGGUUGCCUGGGCUCCUCCUUUGUUUCUGGGGCUUGAACUUGGAGUUAGCAGUCUCCCCAACUCCUUAUGCUUGUUGACCCUCCUCCGACCUGGGGGUGCCUACUAGUAGCCUGGGUAUUUGGCAAAGAAUCAAGCUGGUUCAUUCAAUAUUCAUUAAGUAAAUUAUGCUAUGUGCUGGGCAUACCAAGACAAAAUAAAAAGUCUGUCUGGCCUCA
ensembl:lncRNA